rnacentral:ncRNA from 1 species
UUCUUAUCCAGAAAGACCGAGGGAAUUGACCCAAUGACGUCUUGGCAACCUGUCACUACCGUGUGAUAAGGUGCCACAUUCAACCCAUUAGCUUGGGAAAGAUAAGUU